rnacentral:snRNA from 1 species
AUCGCUUCUCGGCCUUUUGGCUAAGAUCAAGUGUUGUAUUAUUAAGUGAAACCAAAUUUGACAAAGAUAGAUAAAACUAUAUUUACUUGAUCAUUUACAGACUGAACAAUAACAUGAAUGAAUUUCC